GUGCCAGCAGCCGCGGUAAUACGAGGGGUCCAAGCGUUAAUCGGAAUUACUGGGCGUAAAGCGUACGCAGGCGGUUUGUUAAGCGAGAUGUGAAAGCCCCGGGCUCAACCUGGGAAUUGCAUUUCGAACUGGCAAACUAGAGUCUUGUAGAGGGGGGUAGAAUUUCAGGUGUAGCGGUGAAAUGCGUAGAGAUCUGAAGGAAUACCGGUGGCGAAGGCGGCCCCCUGGACAAAGACUGACGCUCAGGUACGAAAGCGUGGGGAGCAAACAGGAUUAGAUACCCUGGUAGUCC
rnacentral:rRNA from 1 species